rnacentral:rRNA from 1 species
CUACGGGUGGCUCCAGUGAGGAAUUUUGCGCAAUGGGGGAAACCCUGACGCAGCAACGCCGCGUGAGUGAUGAAGGCCUUCGGGUCGUAAAACUCUGUCAAGUGGGAAGAACCUAUGUAAGGUUAAUACCCUUAUGUACUGACGGUACCACUGAAGGAAGCACCGGCUAACUCCGUGCCAGCAGCCGCGGUAAUACGGAGGGUGCAAGCGUUAUUCGGAAUUAUUGGGCGGAAAGGGCGCGCAGGCGGUUUUGUAAGUCAGAUGUGAAAGCCCGGGGCUUAACCUCGGAAGUGCAUUUGAUACUGCAAGACUUGAGUAUGGGAGGGGGAAGUGGAAUUCCUGGUGUAGAGGUGAAAUUCGUAGAUAUCAGGAGGAACACCAGUGGCGAAGGCGACUUCCUGGACCAAUACUGACGCUGAGGCGCGAAGGCGUGGGGAGCAAACAGGAUUAGAUACCCUUGUAGUC